AUUGAACGCUGGCGGAAUGCUUUACACAUGCAAGUCGAACGGCAGCACGGGGGCAACCCUGGUGGCGAGUGGCGAACGGGUGAGUAAUGUAUCGGAACGUACCCCGUCGUGGGGGAUAACUCUCCGAAAGGAGAGCUAAUACCGCAUACGACCUGAGGGUGAAAGCGGGGGACCUGCAAGGGCCUCGCGCGAUGGGAGCGGCCGAUAUCGGAUUAGCUAGUUGGUGAGGUAAAGGCUCACCAAGGCGACGAUCCGUAGCGGGUCUGAGAGGACGACCCGCCACACUGGAACUGAGACACGGUCCAGACUCCUACGGGAGGCAGCAGUGGGGAAUUUUGGACAAUGGGGGAAACCCUGAUCCAGCCAUUCCGCGUGAGUGAAGAAGGCCUUCGGGUUGUAAAGCUCUUUCAGCAGGAACGAAACGGUAGGCUUUAAUACAGUUUGCUAAUGACGGUACCUGCAGAAGAAGCACCGGCUAACUACGUGCCAGCAGCCGCGGUAAUACGUAGGGUGCGAGCGUUAAUCGGAAUUACCGGGCGUAAAGCGUGCGCAGGCGGCGACAUAAGACAGAUGUGAAAUCCCCGGGCUCAACCUGGGAACUGCGUUUGUGACUGUGUUGCUAGAGUGUAGCAGAGGGGGGUGGAAUUCCACGUGUAGCAGUGAAAUGCCUAGAGAUGUGGAGGAACACCGAUGGCGAAGGCAGCCCCCUGGGUUAACACUGACGCUCAUGCACGAAAGCGUGGGGAGCAAACAGGAUUAGAUACCCUGGUAGUCCACGCCCUAAACGAUGCCAACUAGGUGUUGGGGGGAGGAGACUUCCUUAGUACCGUAGCUAACGCGUGAAGUUGGCCGCCUGGGGAGUACGGUCGCAAGAUUAAAACUCAAAGGAAUUGACGGGGACCCGCACAAGCGGUGGAUGAUGUGGAUUAAUUCGAUGCAACGCGAAAAACCUUACCUACCCUUGACAUGUCCGGAAUCCUGAAGAGAUUUGGGAGUGCUCGAAAGAGAACCGGAACACAGGUGCUGCAUGGCUGUCGUCAGCUCGUGUCGUGAGAUGUUGGGUUAAGUCCCGCAACGAGCGCAACCCUUAUCAUUAGUUGCCAUCAUUUAGUUGGGCACUCUAAUGAGACUGCCGGUGACAAACCGGAGGAAGGUGGGGAUGACGUCAAGUCCUCAUGGCCCUUAUGGGUAGGGCUUCACACGUCAUACAAUGGUCGGUACAGAGGGUUGCCAACCCGCGAGGGGGAGCUAAUCUCACAAAGCCGAUCGUAGUCCGGAUCGCAGUCUGCAACUCGACUGCGUGAAGUCGGAAUCGCUAGUAAUCGUGGAUCAGCAUGUCACGGUGAAUACGUUCCCGGGUCU
rnacentral:rRNA from 1 species